GAUUUUAACUAAAAAAGUUAUCAGCAACAAAGUUGUAUAACUCAUCUAUAACUUUUAUAUUUGUCAUUUCUUUAUCCGACGAAGUUCUAGUAACAUUGUUCACAAAAUUGACAUAUUUGUGUUAUAGUUUAUAAACCAGAUGAGAAAUAUAUGAAUUUUGUGAACAAUGUUACUAUCACUUUAUCGGAUGAAGAAAUGACCAAAAUAAAAAUCAUAGAUCUUGAUGAGUUAUACACCUUUAUUGUUGAUGACUUUUACAAUUGAAAUC
rnacentral:pre_miRNA from 1 species